AUAUCACUCUCCACUUGUCUUUUCUUUCUUGCAAAGUUUCUAUAACAUUUGCUUAACUUCUUCUCUUUCCCAUUCUAUUUAUGUGAGUUUUAGCUUUGUUUUAUUGACAAACAAAGAUCAACUAGAAGUUUUGGUAGAUAAAGGAGGGCUAAGAGAAAAUAUAUAGAAGAUGUAUGUAAUAGUGAUUUCAUUGCCUUUGAUUAUAUUGGUAUUAAUAGUAGCCAUUGUUUGUUACAUGUGUGGAAGAUCAAGGGGUUGUUGCUAAUAAAAUUCACUCCAAAAUGUUCUAUUAUGCUUGUUCUGUUCGAUGGAGCUAGAGUCUGAAUACAAAUUUGUCUAAAUUUAACAAUAUUCGUUUAAAUAAUAUAUUUAUAUUAGUAAAUUCGUUAUAUUUGAAUUUUAAUUAUAGAGCCCAAGGUAACACUAUAUAUAUAUUGUCUCAUGAUUUUGUAUGAUUGGUGAGUGAUUAUUGUCUAUGAUUGUGCAUAGGUGGACCAAAGGUGAUGUUUGAACAGUCAUAACCAAUAAUAGAGGAGGGGCUAAGAGAAAUAUAUAGAAGAUGUAUGUAAUAGUGAUUUCAUUGCCUUUGAUUAUAUUGGUAUUGAUAGUAGCCAUUGUUUGUUACAUGUGUGGAAGAUCAAGGGGUUGUUGCUGAUAAAUUUUACUCCAAAAUGUUCUAUUAUGCUUCUUCUGCUCGAUGGAGUUAGAAGUCUGAAUACAAAUUUAACUGAAUUUAAUAAUAUUUGUUUGAAUAAUAUAUUUAUAUUCGUU